ACCUUAAUGAAUCAAUUAAGUGCAAUGCAAUUUGAGUUGAAUGGAGCUGGUGAUGGCCAAUUGUGCAGCCACCGCUGGGAGCGUUGCUCAGUAAACCAUAUCACAUCUCAGCCAGCCGAGCCUGUUUGUGCAGCAGAGGUGGUUUUAGGGGGUGGAGAAGGUGAGGAAGCAGGUGGUAGCGCCUCUGCUUGGAAGAGGAACAUACGUUGGCAACCUGUGUGUCUCCGAACACGAUGAAAUUAAUUACAUAGCUUCACCUGAAUUUCUGCAUGAGUUGCACACAUGUGAACUGCUUUAAAUGCAGAUUGGCUGCUGAAGAGCCUUCUUCCAGCCUGAGCUAGAUGCCUCCAAAGCACGUCCCGUCUGGUGGGAGACUGGUGCAGCACUCAGAUCUGCUCUAAGCAGGUCACCGUUAUCUCAGAUCUUGUGGCCAGUGCCUCCUAUAUAUUUUGCUGAAAGAACCCUGCAUGUGCAGAGAUGAGAUGCUGGAGUACUUUAAUUAAAGCCAUGUUUCAGGCAAGCUGUUUGGUCUGCUGUACAAAAAUUGAAAACCUUAUGUAAAACUUAAUUUGAGAGACUUGACAAAUUGUACAGGAAAAAAAUCAGGUAAUGGAUUGCUUGCUAGCUCUG